UUGGAGGGCAAGUCUGGUGCCAGCAGCCGCGGUAAUUCCAGCUCCAAUAGCGUAUAUUAAAGUUGUUGCAGUUAAAAAGCUCGUGGUUGAAUUUCGGGAUCAAGGAAUCGGUCAUGCCUCGGUAUGUACUGGUUUUAUUGGUUCUCACCUUCUAAAGAACCAUAAUGUCAUUCAUUUGAUGUUAUGGGGAAUUAGGACUGUUACCUUGAAAAAAUUAGAGUGUUUAAAGCAGGCUUACGCUUGAAUACAUUAGCAUGGAAUAAUGAAAUAGGACAUCAGAUUCUAUUUUGUUGGUUUCUAGGAUCGAUGUAAUGAUUAAUAGGGAUAGUUGGGGGCAUUAGUAUUCAAUUGUCAGAGGUGAAAUUCUUGGAUUUAUUGAAGACUAACUACUGCGAAAGCAUUUGCCAAGGAUGUUUUCAUUAAUCAAGAACGAAAGUUAGGGGAUCGAAGACGAUCAGAUACCGUCGUAGUCUUAACCAUAAACUAUGCCGACUAGGGAUCGGAUGAUGUUAAUUUUUUAAUGACUCAUUCGGCGCCUUACGGGAAAC
rnacentral:rRNA from 1 species